rnacentral:rRNA from 1 species
GACGAACGCUGGCGGCGUGCUUAACACAUGCAAGUCGAGCGGAGCGGCGAACGGGUGAGUAACGCGUGAGUAACUGCCCCCCUCUCUGGGCUAACAGUUGGAAACUGCUGCUCAUCCCGGAUAGUGGGGGAUGACUCGGGGCCUAUCAGCUUGUGGGUGGGGUAGUGUCCUACCAAGGCGACGACGGGUAGCCGGCCUGCGAGGGCGACCGGCCACAAUGGGCUGAGAUACGGCCCAAACGCCAACGGGAGGCAGCAGGGGGGAAUAUGGCACAAUGGGGGAGACCGUGAGGCAGCAACGCCGCGUGCGGGAUGACGGCCUUCGGGUGGUAAACCGCUUUCAGCCAUGACGCGGUAGUGGCAGAAGAAGCACCGGCUAACUACGUGCCAGCAGCCGCGGUAAUUC